AGUAUAGGGGAUCAAUCGUAGUCCUUUCGAUAAGUAAGAGUGUCGAACCCAACGAGGAGCAGAAGGCUCUGAUAAACGGAUUUCAGCAAGGUAAUAACUGCAAGCACUGAAAGUAGCGGUAACAAGUGAUUGUGUAGCGAGGUGAAACGUAGCGAGUAAAAAGUAACAAGUAACAAGUAGUAGCAACGGUGCAGCAAGUGGCCCAAUCCCUUUUGUAGCAAGGAACAAGCCUGAACAAAGUCUUAUAGGAG
rnacentral:lncRNA from 1 species